rnacentral:rRNA from 1 species
UACGUAGGGUGCGAGCGUGGUCCGGAAUUAUUGGGCGUAAAGAGCUUGUAGGCGGUCUGUCGCGUCUGCUGUGAAAAUCCGGGGCUCAACCCCGGACUUGCAGUGGGUACGGGCAGACUAGAGUGUGGUAGGGGAGACUGGAAUUCCUGGUGUAGCGGUGAAAUGCGCAGAUAUCAGGAGGAACACCAAUAGCGAAGGCAGCUCGCUGGGACGGUACUGACGCUAAGGCGCGAAAGCGUGGGGAGCGAACAGG